AUGUUUGGCGACCCCACUCCUUCCCAAACUCAGCCACCAGGUGGAACAACUCAAUCGCGUUCUCAGCAACAGGCGUCUCAGCCAGAAUCCAAACCACAAGUCCAACAUCAAGCACAAGGCCACUCAUCCGCCUCUGUUCUUGGGGGUAUAUUGGGUGGCUUGUCCUCUUCAAAUGAAAGUCCAAGAAAAUCUUUGUUCUCUAUGUUUAGUAGUCCAGAAUCUACUCCUACUUCAGGAGCUGCUAGAAAUACAGAUUUGUCAGCCCCCAAAGGGGCCACAGUACCCAAAGAACCUGCAAAUAAACCAGUAUGUAAUGAUGCUUUAUGUUCACAACAAGGUCUCAGUUCACCAUUAGGUACUGUUCCCACUAGUAAAGAACCACCAAAAAGUUCUUUCCACCAAGGUUCUUCAGAAAUAUCAUCAACAUCUAGUAGCCACGUAUCAGUGCCUGAUGUUUCCUGUAAAAUAUCCACUGUGGUUAACAAGCCAUUUUCUGAUUCUACUGUAAACGGCGCAACUCAGGCAACAGAUGCAGAAUGUAUCGGUGACCAAAAUAAAAUAAGCUCACAAUGUUCACCCCUGAAUGUUCCUCCCUCAGAAGAAUCACAUGUUUCCAGCAUUUUACCUGGAUUAGGCCUCCAGACUCCGUCUGACGCUACAACAAAGGUUUUACCUCAAUCACUUUCUGGCCCUAGUGUGGUGGGCCCUUCAUCGGAAGUGCCUACACCUGAACCAUCAGGACCCAAGGACCCACCAAUGAAGAGUUUGUUUUCUGUAUUUGGAGGUUCUGCUAAUCAGUCCUCUCCACAGUCUGGAAGUUCUCUUUUAGGGGCAAUGUUUGGAGGUUCUUCAGCCCAACCAACAACCUCUCAAACAGGAGGAUCAUUACUAGGUGGCUUAUUUGCAGGGCCUGCUCCUCCAGCCUCUGCACCUAUGGGUGGGGGCUGUGCUCCCCAAACCGCUGGCCCUCCGUCGGGGGCAUCUUUACUCGGUGGCUUAUUUGGUGGAUCAACUACACAGGCUGCAGGAUCACAAACUGCUAGUUCUAUUUUGGGUGGUCUUUUUGGAGGUUCAGCCGCUUCAACAACUGGACCACAGCCGAGUAGUGCAAACCAACCCAAGCCCCAAACGUCGAGUUCUAUGUUUGGAAGCAUGUUGGGGGGCUCAUCUUUUCAAGCGAACAAAGAACAGACGAGAGCAGGUCUUUUGGGUGGAAUAUUCAGUGGAACACCUGUAGCUAAUGAGGUGCCGGAUAAAAGUCAAAGAACUCUUGUAUCCGUACCACCUUCAGUCCCUCUUUCAGCACCUACGUCAAGUAGUAAUGAGAACAAAACACCUGCUGACAUUACUUCAGUUGUUACUCCAGAAAAAUCCAGUGACAACUUUCAAACUGUUUCAGUUUUGGGUAGUUCUGAAAAGACUGCUGACUAUGCUGCCCAAAGCAAAGCACAAGAAGAAGCACUGCAGCAAUCUGACAGUACCAUUCCGUCAGGUAGGGAAAAUUUAUGCCAAGUGGAUGCUGCUGCCCCAGAAGAAGGUCUGUCGCCAAAGACUACAAGGGCAAGUGAUUUGUCUCAUGAUGUUCAGGCCAAAGAAUCUGACAUCAGUACACAACCUGCAUAUCCAGAGGUGAUUAGCGCUCCGCUGAAUGAAAGUAAACCUACAGUAGAGCAGGACAAACUAUCAGCAUCUUCAAUCAGUCCUACAGUUCAGGAACAACAUUUACCAGAACCAGAGAAACCUGUUAUUGACUCAUCAACAGAUGCAGUUAAGGGUUUUGUGUCCUCGCUAUUCAAACCAGCAGUUGUAUCCACUGAAGGUGCUCAGCAGCAAGAAAAUACCUCAUCCUUUGGACUUGGUGGAUCACAACCCCAGGCUGCUAACAGUCAGGCUGGUACUUCACUUCUAGGUGGCAUUUUUGGUGGAUCUAACACAGAAACAACAGCUCCACAGACGGGUGUAUCAAUACUGGGAGGCUUAUUCAAGGGUUCUGUCUCUCAGACUCCUGCUUCUAACACUGGAGGGUCACUGUUGGGUGGGAUGUUUGGAGGAGGACCUCCUGCCACGGCUUCAGGUCAACAGAGUGGUGUAUCAGUCCUCACGGGCAUGUUUGGAGGCCCUGCUUCACCUGCACAGUCUGGUGGUUCUUUACUUAGCGGAAUUUUUGGAGGAGCAUCUGUUCAGACUGAAGCAGCACAAAGUGGAUCAUCUGUACUUGGUGGUAUAGGUGGAUCUUUGUUUGGCGGUAUCGGAAAAACCUCAAAGCCAUCUGAACCGGCCCAUGUUGAGUCCAAACCUGCACACAGCCCUUGUGCAAAGCCGCAGCAAAACAACGAAAGCUCAGUACCUAAAUUAUCACCAUCCACUACAGACAUGGACACAAAUAAAUCUGUAGACAAGCAGCAGCCUAAUGAUCCAGAACAACCAAACAUCCAAACAACCAAUACGACUGUGGUGUCUGAACUUUGUCCAGAAAACAUCUUCUGUUUCAGAAAGUGCACUCUGUGA
rnacentral:lncRNA from 1 species